rnacentral:rRNA from 1 species
AGUGAACGCUGGCGGUAGGCCUAACACAUGCAAGUCGAACGGCAGCACAGUAAGAGCUUGCUCUUACGGGUGGCGAGUGGCGGACGGGUGAGGAAUACAUCGGAAUCUACUUUUUCGUGGGGGAUAACGUAGGGAAACUUACGCUAAUACCGCAUACGACCUACGGGUGAAAGCAGGGGAUCUUCGGACCUUGCGCGAUUGAAUGAGCCGAUGUCGGAUUAGCUAGUUGGCGGGGUAAAUGCCCACCAAGGCGACGAUCCGUAGCUGGUCUGAGAGGAUGAUCCGCCACACUGGAACUGAGACACGGUCCAGACUCCUACGGGAGGCAGCAGUGGGGAAUAUUGGACAAUGGGCGCAAGCCUGAUCCAGCCAUACCGCGUGGGUGAAGAAGGCCUUCGGGUUGUAAAGCCCUUUUGUUGGGAAAGAAAAGCAGCAGGUUAAUACCCCGCUGUUCUGACGGUACCCAAAGAAUAAGCACCGGCUAACUUCGUG